UGGGGAAUAUUGCACAAUGGAGGGAACUCUGAUGCAGCGACGCCGCGCGUGUGAUGAAGGAAUUCGUUUCGUAAAACUCUGUUCUAUGGGAAGAAAAGGACUGUACCAUAGGAGAAAGCUCCGGCUAAAUACGUGCCAGCAGCCGCGGUAACACGGAUGGAGCGAGCGUUGUCCGGAAUUAUUGGGCGUAAAGGGUGCGCAGGCGGUUUUACAAGUUGGAUGUGAAAUAUUGUGGCUCAACCACAAACGUGCAUCCAAAACUGAAAAGCUUGAGUUAAGGAGAGGGAAGUGGAAUUCCUGUGGUAGCGGGGGAAUGCGUAGAUAUCAGGAGGAAUACCGGUGGCGAAGGCGACUUACGGGACUUAAAAUGACGAUAAGGGACAAAAGCGGGGGGAGCAAACAG
rnacentral:rRNA from 1 species